UACAGAGGUCUCAAGCGUUGUUCGGAUUCAUUGGGCGUAAAGGGUGCGUAGGCGGCGCGGUAAGUCGGGUGUGAAAUCUCGGAGCUUAACUCCGAAACUGCAUUCGAUACUGCCGUGCUUGAGGACUGGAGAGGAGACUGGAAUUUACGGUGUAGCGGUGAAAUGCGCAGAUAUCAGGAGGAACACCAGCGGCGAAGGCGGCGCUCUGGGCCGGAACUGACGCUGAGGAGCGAAAGCGUGGGUAGCAAACAGG
rnacentral:rRNA from 1 species